GUAAGCAUAGUUUAACAAAAACAUUAGAUUGUGAGUCUAACAAUAAAAGCUCAACCUUUUUGCUUACC
rnacentral:tRNA from 1 species